AAUAAUUUAAGAGUUUAUAUAUUUUAUAGGCAUUUAAAUUAAAUUUUUAACCUUUUCUUAGCCUAAUUUUGUAGAAUUAUUUUUUUAGCCCUAUUAUAUUCUUGCAAGAGGCCCAAUUUCAAGCCCUACAAGACUUGGUCCAUACCCCUUCUUCAUCAAAGAAAACCCUACACUUCAUCUUCUUCAUAUUACACAAUACAAGACCUAAACCCUAGCACCAAAACAAUAAUGGAGGAAAUAAGCAAAACCUUAGCUACUUCAUCUCUUUCUUCCAUACCAAAACCCUAACCACUAGAAGCCGCCGCGAAACAGCCCUCCACGGCGGAAACAAAUCGCCGCUGCUCCCCCUCAUCUCUUCUUCUUCAUACCACCAUAAACGACCACUCUCCAACACUUCUCCAAACGACCAUCUCCAACCAACGUCAUCAAAUCGCCGCCGGCAAUACCAAACGACCAGCGCCUCACUUCCCUCACAACAUCCCCGAACCCUGUGACACAAAAGCAGCCACCGCUGGACCAUCCAUAGCUACCGCCAGCUGCUAUUUCGUCGACCAGCUAUCAGACCACCUGAACUUCACUCCAAACGUCGUCCAUCUCCAUCGAAGCAACAGCAGCUGCAACUCCAUUCCAACAUCCAACUUCUCCAUCGUUUUUUAUUUGUGUUUCAGUUUAGUUCCAAAACGGAAAAAUAUAAAAAGCAAAAAAAGAAAAGAAGAAGAUAUCUCUACUCUUCAUUACUGUUUUCGGAUUUUGACUUGAAACAUGGAGUUCGAUUGAGUAUUUAGAGGCCGUGUUUGAGUUUGAGUCCUCCGGUGUUGUGCGAUUCGUUGGUUCUGCUCUCUUAUUUCGAGUGCCUGAUAGUCGUUCCUUGCUCAUUUUCAAAUUUGUUUAAGAGUAGACGUCGUUCGGCUUUCGUUCCAGUUAUCAAAGGCGACAAUUUGCUAAUUUGAGGUCUAACUCUCUUCCUUCCUUCUCGCAUUUUUAUUCUCAAACUGUGUUGCUGAUUGAUUGAUUUACAAAAUGGUGUUGUGGCUUAUACUAUAAUUUGUACGUUAAUUUGUUCUUAACAGAAUUGUUAUUAUACUUUGAAUCAUUAAUUCUUUAAUUAAUAACAUAAGAGUCAAUUUAAUUUAUAGUUGUUGGGGGUUUGGUUAUAAAAAUUGAAUUAAAAUGGACAAUAUUUGGAAACAAGAAAGAGGUUCGGGCUUAACAGUAUUUCUGCUACUUUUGUAGCUUUAUUGUAUUCCAUUGGUUCAAGUGAUUGGGUUAAAUUCACUAGUGUGUGUGCUAUAAGGGAUGAUGUUGAUAAUCGGAGUUGGGCUUGAGAUGAACUAAGGGGUUCGGGCAAUAAUCUUAUUAUUUUAUUUUGAUUAUUUGGGUUCGCUAGUAGCAUGUUUAGGCCAACCACACCUGGGUAGGCAAACUUUAGGAUAAUGAACUAAGGGGUCCGGGCAAUAAUCUUAUUGUUUUAUCUUGAUUUAUUUGGGUUCGCUAGUGGCAUGUUUAGGCUAACCACACCCGGGAAGGCAAACUUUAGGAUUUUUGUUAAUUUGAGGGGAUAGGUCGUUCCCAUAGUUAAAUUUGUCCAGGGAAUACCCCGUAAAGUUUGUAUAUAUUAUUAUCCGGGGUAUACCUCGAUGUGAAUAUAAAUGAAGGCCAAAGACUAAGUAACUUGAGGAAGCAUAGAAUAGUACUUUAUUUUUUCUUUUGUUUUUCCUUUAAUAGGUGGGGACGACCUCGAGCUUCUUUGAUUCUUUAGUCUCUUUUUGCGUGUUUUUGCCUUAAUUUGAAUAUUUUAAAAGUCAACUCGAUCGCGUACGCAACUGUGACCUUCACAGGACUUGGGGAGUGUCUAACACCUGCUCCCCGAGUCAAAUGAACCCUCUUACCCGAAUCUCUGGUGCGGUCUUAGUUUUGAUCCAAGUGUUUUAAAAGGAAAAUAUUUUUUAAGAACUGGUGGCUUGGCACACCGAAAUUUAAUGUCAGGUGGUGACUCUGAGUUUAUUUCCUUUUGAACCACCAUUUUUGUCACUUUUUAAUGAAAAACCUUUUUCAAGCUUUAUUAAAUCUUUUUAUUAAUUUUAGAGGGUUUAGUAGAGGUUUGGUUUAAAAUGGGGUGUGACAUCUCUGGCUACUCCGCUGGGGAGUUGCAGGUUCGAGCUAGUACUUGAUCUUGUUGGCUUUUAGGAUUUUCGGUUGAGGUUUUAUGUGUUUUGUUUGCUUUAUUUGAUUUUUAUUUUUGUUUAUGUCGUUUUAUUUGCUUGUUGGUUAUUUGUUUACGUAUUUUUGCUUUAUGUGUUUACUGCUUUAUAACUGUCAUCAUUUGCAUAACCCGGUCAAUUCUUUCUACAAAAAGUCUCAGAGUACGCGCCGGUUGCACGAACUCUUUGUUGAGUCACCCUUUAUUUAGGAGGGGGGCGCCGUCAGACGUAUGGAGUGGGUGGAAAGCUUGAGCAGCCACUAUCGACCAUACGCUCCCUCGAAUUGCCUUGUUAGUGAACCCAAAACUUAGGUCAACCUUUAUGCCAUUUUUAUUUGCAUCAUGUCAUUUAGACCUAGUAGGGCUCGGUCCCAGGCGCCGUGUCCCUUUGUAGGAAGCUUAUCCAAAUUUUAUCAAAAAUGGCCCGUCGCCCAAAAAGACAUUCAAUCAUCACUAUGUGAUACAUGCUGCAUCUUUGAGGGUAAAAAGGUCAUUUGCCGGACCGAUAUUUGGAAAGAAGGGUGAAAAAUGAAGAAAGUAGGGUCCACCUGCAUUUUUCUUUCAUAGUUUUCUAAAAAUAAAAAAAAAAUUAAAUGAGAAAAUCCAAAAAAGAUUUUACACUCUUCCAUUAUUUUCCAAAAAAUUCAAAAAAAAAAAGUAGAAAAUGAAAAAUCCAAAAUGAUUUUACACUUUUUCAUUAUUUUCCAAAAAAUAAAUAAAAAAAGUAGCAAAUGAAAAAUCCAGAACAAGAUUUUAUACUUUUCCAUUAUUUUUCAAAAACUCAAAAAAGGUAGAAAAUGAAAAAUCCAAAAGAUUUUACACUUUCUCAUUAUUUUUUCAAAAAAUUCCAAAAAGUAGAAAAUGAAAAAUAAAAAAAAAAGAUUUUAUACUCUUCCAUUAUUUUCCAAAAAUUCAAAAAAAGUAGAAAAUGAAAAAUCCAAAAAGAUUCUGCACUUUUCAUCUCUUUUUCAAAAAGACCAAAAAAUAGUUUUUAUUUCAAAUUAGAUGCAUUUUUAAAAGAUAUUCUAUCCUAUAUUUAAUCCUCCCGAACUACGCGAACCUGAUUUUCGUCCUUUCGCGGCGAGAUACGUAGGCAACCCACUUAGGGUCCGAUCUUCUAUGAGUCUUAGGUUAUUUAUUGGCUUUGCGGGGUCUUUGCCAAAUCUUGGAUGUCUAGCCACUUUUGACCAUAUCGGCUAUUCUUUUAAAAUGGGGCCAUUUUUGUAAAAAGUGGUUCAAUUACCCAUUUCUUAGAAAUUUUGGGUUACAACUAGGCCCGUCCUUUUGAGUUUGCAUCUUUAGCAACUUUCGGCCACAUACACUCUUUUUUUCAAAAUGAGUUAUUUUGAAAAUUAAUUUUGGGCCAUGAUUAUUGUGUAUUUGAAUCCAUAUAACCCUAGUGUGGUAUUAUUAUGUCUUUGAGGUCACAUUUGUUGAGUUUGCACUAAUAGACAUCCUUGACCACAUAUGUUAAUUUUGCAAAAGUAGCCCAAUCAUGUCUUGCAUGUAUCCAAUAGAAGAUGUCGUGGCGUCGCAUGUGUCUUGAGUCACUAACUCUAUUUAUCUUAUUUUUCCCAUUCAAGUAUGGAGUAAUUUGCUAGAGUUUGAGCAUGACUAAUAUUUAGGAUCAUUCUAGUCAAGACUAUUGCAGGCACCAGCUGCUUGAGGAAACUUUCUAUUUUAUAGUCUAUCUUAUGUUAUCUUUUAAUUUUUAGUCCUCUACAAUAAUAUCGAGUCUGUCAAUCUAGUUAAGGUUUUCCAAUCUUUUGUUGUAGUACUUCUUCUUUUGUAGUUGAAAAUCAAAAAAAAAUUAUAAAUGCAAAAUUCAAAAAGAUUUUUGUCUCUUAAUUUAUUUCCAUCACUUUUCAAGAACUACACUUGAUCUGAUUCAUGAGGGACAUGAUACGUAUGCAACCUACAUAGGGUUUGAUCGAAGCAUUAAAAAGAAAAAAGAAAAGAAAAAGAAAAAAAAAGGAAAAAAGAGAAUGAAGUUAUAGGAUGUGAGAAAUGAGAGGGGAAAAAAGCAAUAAUCAGAAGAAAAAAAAAAGAAAAAGGGAAAACGAAAUAAAAAACUAAGCGGUGUUAGAAGGAAGAUGAAGAAGGAAAUGGGGCAAAAAUGGAGGAAAGAAAAUGAAAAAACAAGGAGGGUUAAAGAGAAAAAUGAAGAAGGAAAUGGGACAAAAAGAGUAAAAUUGGGAUAAUGCCAUAUGACCUUCGUACCCCCGAAUCCAUUCUAGAAUCGUUAACUGUUAAUAGAGGACAUUGCACACAAUGUGAUAUUUAUAUUUGAUAAAUGCUCUAACGCUAACGUGUUGGAUUUGUUUUGCUCCUCUUUGUUACUUCCAUCAUUAUUAUAACAGAGGGUGGUUAGUUUGUGGUACUUUGGUGAUUCGUCCAUACAACACCAGAAAGUACAAGGCAGUCAUGGCUAGCAAAGAAACUGACACUGGAAUUGUUGACCCGCCGAGGGAGAUUCUUGAAUCGGAGUCUGAGUUAAAAGAGGAGGUCCGAAGGUUGAAACAUCAGAUGGCGGAAAUGUAUCAUGCCUGG
rnacentral:lncRNA from 1 species